GAUGAACGCUGGCGGCGUGCUUAGCACAUGCAAGUCGAACGAGAAGUGAAGACGGAAACCUUCGGGCGGAAGGCUUUAUUUCGAGUGGCGGACGGGUGAGUAACGCGUGGGUAACCUGCCUCAUACAGGGGGAUAACAGUUGGAAACGACUGUUAAUACCGCAUAAGACCACAGCACCGCAUGGUGCGGGGGUAAAAACUCCGGUGGUAUGAGAUGGACCCGCGUUCGAUUAGCCAGUUGGCGGGGUAACGGCCCACCAAAGCGACGAUCGAUAGCCGAUCUGAGAGGAUGACCGGCCACAUUGGGACUGAGACACGGCCCAAACUCCUACGGGAGGCAGCAGUGGGGAAUAUUGCACAAUGGGGGAAACCCUGAUGCAGCGACGCCGCGUGAGUGAAGAAGUAUUUCGGUAUGUAAAGCUCUAUCAGCAGGGAAGAAAAUGACGGUACCUGAGUAAGAAGCCCCGGCUAACUACGUG
rnacentral:rRNA from 1 species